rnacentral:rRNA from 1 species
GAUGAACGCUAGCGGGAGGCCUAAUACAUGCAAGUCGAGCGGUAGAAUGACUUCGGUUGUUUGAGAGCGGCGAACGGGUGAGUAACGCGUACACAAUCUACCUUUAAGAGGGGAAUAGCCCUGGGAAACUGGGAUUAAUGCCCCAUGGCAUCACGGGAGUGGCAUCGUUUUGUUGAUUAAAGACUGAGGUGCUUAAAGAAUGAGUGUGCGUCUGAUUAGCUAGUUGGUACGGUAACGGCGUACCAAGGCGACGAUCAGUAGGGGGCGGUGAGAGCGUGGACCCCCACCACGGGUACGUGAGACACGGACCCGACUCCUACGGGAGGGCAGCAGUAAGGAAUAUUGGUCAAUGGAGGAAACUCUGAACCAGCCAUCCGCGUGCAGGAAGAAUGCCCUAUGGGUUGUAAACUGCUUUUAUCUGGGAAGAAAAGACCGGCAUUUAUUGUUGGUCUGACGGUACCAGAGGAAUAAAGCACCGGCUAACUCCGUGCCAGCAGCCGCGGUAAUGUGUG